GGAGUGAUCAUUUUCCUACAAGUUCUAUUGUAAAUGAUGAGGUAAGAAAUGUUAAAGAAGGAAAUACAGGAAAGUGAAAGCUGAUUGGGAAAAAUUCACAAUUAAAAUUGAUAAAGGUCAAUGAAGAAAUAGGAAAUGUGAAGAUAUAUACAGAGAUAUUGUCAGCAGUUCACAAUCGUGCAAGUAAAUGCAUUCCAAAAUGUAAAGGAAAGAGAGUGGGAAAAAUAGUUCAAUAGCAGUUAGAAGGAAAAGAAAGGCAUUAAAAAAACUGAAGAGAACUCACAACUGGCAAAAUAUGAUAAUAUAUAAGAAAACAUAGGCAGAAACUAGAAAAUAAUAAGGGAAGUGAAGAAAGAGUAUUGGAGAAGGUUUUGUGAUGAAAUUGGGAAAAAUACUCCAGUGGAGGAUGUAUGGAAUAUGAUAAAAAAAAAGAUGAGUGGAAUUAGGAGAGAAUAUGAUUAUCCAGUGUUAAAUAUUGGGGAGGAAACCAUAGUAAGUAAUAAAGACAAAGGAGAAAUGUUCAAGAAAUAAUUUUCAAAAGUUAAUAGCUCAGAAAACCUGACGAAGGAAAGGAAGGAUAUGAGAAAUAAGAUGAUAGAUUAUGUAUGGAUAAUAGAUCAUCCAUACAUAAGGGAAAUAAAGAGAGUUACAAAUAGCCCAUUAGAUGCUCCAUUUUCAUUACCGGAGUGGUGAAGCCUCCUGACAGGCUCUGCUUGUAGUCAGGAAAAGGCAUGGUAAAGACGCCCUUGUGGAAGUGAUGUGCUAGCAACUUCUCCUUCCUAGUUUGCAAAAUUCCCUCUAUAAUUAUAUUACAAUGUGAGGUUUUGGUCACUGUGGAGGCGGAGGCGUGGUUUAGCGAAGUCUGCAGCCGGAGAGAGAAUUGGGAAACGAACGGUGAGUGAGCGGGCUGAACGGAAAUAAUCUCCACCUGUCUCUUGUUUCAGUAAUUGGCGUGGAGAGAGUAUUUUACGCCAGGAGAAACAGGAGUAGAACGAGAGAGACCUGCUGCUGACAAGCGUGAAUGCAAAGUUCUGCUUACCAGACUAUGUUUUCUGCCUUGUCCUCUUCCUUCCAACCUCUGAACUCAUUUACACUGGUGCCAAACCCGGGAAGGAAGAAGGACCGCCGCCAUGCAAAGGCCAUCCUCCACGCCGCUUGCGGACAUCAUCGCCUGGACCGACCAGGAGAGCUCGAUUACUAAUUGGCGUGGAGAGAGUAUUUAAUGCCAGGAGAAUCAGGAGUAGAACGAGAGACUCGCUGCUGACGAGCGUGAACGCAAAGCUCUGCUUACCGGACUGUAUUUUCUGUCUAGUGUCCCAGCUAACAGGGAACGUUCCCACAACAUUCACUAACGUUCUUUAAAGGUUGUGUAAAUGUUAGUACAAAACGUUAUUAAAAUAAUGUUUUUGGAACAUUCUUAUAACGUUGGUUAUGUUCUUGUAAGGUUAAUAGAAAACGUUCUUAGAACAACGUUCUUGGAACAUCUUUAGGACGUUAUUUGUACUUGAUGAAUGUUCUUCUAAGGUUGACAGAAAACGUUCUUAGAACAGCGUUCUCGGAACGUCUUUAGGAUGUUAUUUGUACUUGAUGAAUGUUCUUAUAAGGUCGCUAGAAAACGUUCUUAGAACAACGUUCUUGUAGCGUCUUUGGGACGUUAUCUGUACUUGAUGAAUGUUCUUCUAAGGUUGACAGAAAACGUUCUUAGACCAAUGUUCCCGGAACGUCUUUAGGACGUUAUCUGUCCUUGAUGAAUGUUCUUCUAAGGUUGACAGAAAACGUUCUUAGAACAGUGUUCUCGGAACGUCUUUAGGACGUUAUUUGUACUUGAUGGAUGUUCUUAUAAGGUCGCUAGAAAACGUUCUUAGAACAACGUUCUUGUAACGUCUUUAGGAUGUUAUCUGUACUUGAUGAAUGUUCUUCUAAGGUUGACAGAAAACGUUCUUAGACCAAUGUUCCCGGAACGUCUUUAGGACGUUAUCUGUCCUUGAUGAAUGUUCUUCUAAGGUCGCUAGAAAACGUUCUUAGAACAACGUUCUUGGAACGUCUUUUGGACGUUAUCUCUACUUGAUGGAUGUUCUUCUAAGGUUGACAGAAAACUUUCUUAGACCAAUGUUCCCGGAACGUCUUUAGGACGUUAUCUGUCCUUGAUGAAUGUUCUUCUAAGGUUGACAGAAAACGUGCUUAGAACAACGUUCUCGGAAUGUCUUUAGGACGUUAUCUGUCCUUGACGAAUGUUCUUCUAAGGUUGACAGAAAACGUUCUUAGAAUAGCGUUCUCGGAACGUCUUUAGGACGUUAUUUGUACUUGAUGAAUGUUCUUAUAAGGUCGCUAGAACGUUCUUAGAACAACGUUCUUGUAACGUCUUUAGGAUGUUAUCUGUACUUGAUGAAUGUUCUUCUAAGGUUGACAGAAAACGUUCUUAGACCAAUGUUCCCGGAACGUCUUUAGGACGUUAUCUGUCCUUGAUGAAUGUUCUUCUAAGGUUGACAGAAAACGUGCUUAGAACAACGUUCUCGUAAUGUCUUUAGGACGUUAUCUGUCCUUGACGAAUGUUCUUCUAAGGUUGACAGAAAACGUUCUUAGAACAGCGUUCUCAGAACGUCUUUAGGACGUUAUUUGUACUUGAUGAAUGUUCUUAUAAGGUCGCUAGAAAACGUUCUUAGAACAACGUUCUUGUAACGUCUUUAGGACGUUAUUUGUACUUGAUGAAUGUUCUUCUAAGGUUGACAGAAAACGUUCUUAGAACAACGUUCUCUGAACGUCUUUAGGACGUUAUUUGUACUUGAUGAAUGUUCUUAUAAGGUCGCUAGAAAACGUUCUUAGAACAACGUUCUUGGAACGUCUUUUGGACGUUAUCUGUACUUGAUGGAUGUUCUUCUAAGGUUGACAGAAAACUUUCUUAGACCAAUGUUCCCGGAACGUCUUUAGGACGUUAUUUGUACUUGAUGGAUGUUCUUAUAAGGUCGCUAGAAAACGUUCUUAGAACAACGUUCUUGUAACGUCUUUAGGAUGUUAUCUGUACUUGAUGAAUGUUCUUCUAAGGUUGACAGAAAACGUUCUUAGACCAAUGUUCCCGGAACGUCUUUAGGACGUUAUCUGUCCUUGAUGAAUGUUCUUCUAAGGUCGCUAGAAAACGUUCUUAGAACAACGUUCUUGGAACGUCUUUUGGACGUUAUCUGUACUUGAUGGAUGUUCUUCUAAGGUUGACAGAAAACUUUCUUAGACCAAUGUUCCCGGAACGUCUUUAGGACGUUAUCUGUCCUUGAUGAAUGUUCUUCUAAGGUUGACAGAAAACGUGCUUAGAACAACGUUCUCGGAAUGUCUUUAGGACGUUAUCUGUCCUUGACGAAUGUUCUUCUAAGGUUGACAGAAAACGUUCUUAGAAUAGCGUUCUCGGAACGUCUUUAGGACGUUAUUUGUACUUGAUGAAUGUUCUUAUAAGGUCGCUAGAAAACGUUCUUAGAACAACGUUCUUGUAACGUCUUUAGGAUGUUAUCUGUACUUGAUGAAUGUUCUUCUAAGGUUGACAGAAAACGUUCUUAGACCAAUGUUCCCGGAACGUCUUUAGGACGUUAUCUGUCCUUGAUGAAUGUUCUUCUAAGGUUGACAGAAAACGUGCUUAGAACAACGUUCUCGUAAUGUCUUUAGGACGUUAUCUGUCCUUGACGAAUGUUCUUCUAAGGUUGACAGAAAACGUUCUUAGAACAGCGUUCUCAGAACGUCUUUAGGACGUUAUUUGUACUUGAUGAAUGUUCUUAUAAGGUCGCUAGAAAACGUUCUUAGAACAACGUUCUUGUAACGUCUUUAGGACGUUAUUUGUACUUGAUGAAUGUUCUUCUAAGGUUGACAGAAAACGUUCUUAGAACAACGUUCUCUGAACGUCUUUAGGACGUUAUUUGUACUUGAUGAAUGUUCUUAUAAGGUCGCUAGAAAACGUUCUUAGAACAACGUUCUUGGAACGUCUUUUGGACGUUAUCUGUACUUGAUGGAUGUUCUUCUAAGGUUGACAGAAAACUUUCUUAGACCAAUGUUCCCGGAACGUCUUUAGGACGUUAUCUGUCCUUGAUGAAUGUUCUUCUAAGGUUGACAGAAAACGUGCUUAGAACAACGUUCUCGGAAUGUCUUUAGGACGUUAUCUGUCCUUGACGAAUGUUCUUCUAAGGUUGACAGAAAACGUUCUUAGAACAGCGUUCUCGGAACGUCUUUAGGACGUUAUUUGUACUUGAUGAAUGUUCUUAUAAGGUCGCUAGAAAACGUUCUUAGAACAACAUUCUUGGAACGUCUUUAGGACGUUAUCUGUCCUUGAUGAAUGUUCUUCUAAGGUUGACAGAAAACGUGCUUAGAACAAUGUUCUCGGAAUGUCUUUAGGACGUUAUCUGUACUUGAUGGAUGUUCUCAUAAGGUCUCUAGAAAACGUUCUUAGACCAAUGUUCCCGGAACGUCUUUAGGACGUUAUCUGUACUUGAUGAAUGUUCUUAGAAGGUUGACAGUAAACAUUCUUAGAACAACGUUCUCGUAACGUCUUUAGGACAUUAUCUGUACUUGACGAAUGUUCUUCUAAGGUUGACAGAAAACGUUCUUAGAACAGCGUUCUCGGAACGUCUUUAGGACGUUAUUUGUACUUGAUGAAUGUUCUUAUAAGGUCGCUAGAAAACGUUCUUAGAACAACGUUCUUGUAACGUCUUUAGGACGUUAUUUGUACUUGAUGAAUGUUCUUCUAAGGUUGACAGAAAACGUUCUUAGAACAACGUUCUCUGAACGUCUUUAGGACGUUAUUUGUACUUGAUGAAUGUUCUUAUAAGGUCGCUAGAAAACGUUCUUAGAACAACGUUCUUGGAACGUCUUUUGGACGUUAUCUGUACUUGAUGGAUGUUCUUCUAAGGUUGACAGAAAACUUUCUUAGACCAAUGUUCCCGGAACGUCUUUAGGACGUUAUCUGUCCUUGAUGAAUGUUCUUCUAAGGUUGACAGAAAACGUGCUUAGAACAACGUUCUCGGAAUGUCUUUAGGACGUUAUCUGUCCUUGACGAAUGUUCUUCUAAGGUUGACAGAAAACGUUCUUAGAACAGCGUUCUCGGAACGUCUUUAGGACGUUAUUUGUACUUGAUGAAUGUUCUUAUAAGGUCGCUAGAAAACGUUCUUAGAACAACAUUCUUGGAACGUCUUUAGGACGUUAUCUGUCCUUGAUGAAUGUUCUUCUAAGGUUGACAGAAAACGUGCUUAGAACAAUGUUCUCGGAAUGUCUUUAGGACGUUAUCUGUACUUGAUGGAUGUUCUCAUAAGGUCUCUAGAAAACGUUCUUAGACCAAUGUUCCCGGAACGUCUUUAGGACGUUAUCUGUACUUGAUGAAUGUUCUUAGAAGGUUGACAGUAAACAUUCUUAGAACAACAUUCUCGGAACGUCUUUAGGACAUUAUCUGUACUUGAUGAAUAUUCUUAUAGGGUCACUAGAAAACGUUCUUAUAACAACGU
rnacentral:lncRNA from 1 species